rnacentral:lncRNA from 1 species
UUUUUUUUCUUUCUGUAUUUUCUUCCUCUCUCUCUCUCUCUCUCUUCUCUUUUCCCUCUCCCGAAAACGCUCGAUUUCUCUCUCUCUGCUGAAGCUUCUACCUUUUUCCUUUUUUUUUUUUUUUACCGGGUCAAAACCCAUAUUUUACAGAAACUUCCUCGGCAUCACAUCCUGAGGUCUGUUUCUUUCCCUUCUGCGUUCUUUUGCACUUCGCUCUCUUCUCCACAAUUAAGGUUUCAACAUCGGUAAGUGAGGCCAUGGAUUUUCGCUUCAGUUGGGCAGGAACGAUUUCUUGAGAAGGGUCGCCAACUUCCUUCGUGUUCUGAUCAGGCGCGACGGGGAAGACCUCGCGAGACACCACCACUCCUGCAGACGGAAGUACCUCUGGCUCCUUCGUCACGAUCCUUCUCCUGAUCGUGCAGAGAAGAAAGGCACGAGGAAGAGUCCAUCGACGGCGGCGAGUGGACCUCGCUUCUCAGGUGGUCGCCAACGGGCUUCUGCUCGUGAUCUUGCAGAUAAGAAACGCGCGAUGAUGAAGAGUCCAUCAAUGGCGGCGAGCGGACAUCACCUCUCAGGAUGUUGCCGAUGGCAGGUGAUCUGGGGCCCAAGAAAUCGAUGAGCUUCAUGGGUUUCUGGUGAAAAAAACAGGAAAGUGCUUCGCAAGAACAACAUAGGGCAACGCGGUUCAGGGGAAUUUUGAGAGAGCGAAAGAGAGAAAGACAACGUUGGAGAGAAUAGAGAGGAAAAUAUAUAGUUUACCGUUGGAAUUAUGAUGGAUUUGUAGUCGAAUUUUGAGAGUGCGCUGAGUGAGAGUUGCAUUCCUAAUUUGAGUCAGGUUAAGAUUAGUAAAAUAGGAAAUAAUUUCAAGAUUCCAGAUUCAUUUCCUAAUUUGUUACAUUAUUUUCAUCAUGCAAUAGGACGGAACUUAAAGGCUUGAAAAAAAUUGAUUUAUUUUAACAAAAGAAAGAAUUUUAAAUGUAUAUAAUAUUGAGCUUAUAGAAUUUUAAAUGUAUAUAAUAAUGAGCAUAUAAAAAACACGGGUAGUUACAUUACAAAAUAUUACACAAAAUAAAGAAAAUAGACGGGGUCGGAAAGGGAUGCUCUAAGCUUGUUUUAUAUUUGUCUUCUUCGUUUUUUAAUCAAUUUGUUCACAUUUUUUGAGUGGGACACUUUCUUGUUCUAGUUAAAUUAUAUGUACCCUAUAAGGUUUUAGUUGAAUACGUUGUGGGAUGAUAUAACAAAAAAUCCUAAAUUAUGCAUAUUGUAACAUCAAUACUCCAUUCUUUUCUUUUCGUAACAUCAAUAAUCUUGAAUUAGUAUUUCUUUUGGGGGGAGUUUGUAAUCCUUAGAAAAAUUUUUAUCGU